GAUGAGGCAGGGAAGCUGGGAACCUGAUGGGCCCUAAUCGCCAGCCAGGAGUAGGGACCCUACCCGUGCAAUAAUUUUGUGCACCAGGCCUCUAGUGUCUUAAU